GGCUUCGUAGCUCAUUUGGUAUAGUAGUCACGGUAGUAAUGCGAAGGCGGAAACCGUGCGUGGGUUCGAAACCCAGCGGAGCCA
rnacentral:tRNA from 1 species